UACGUAGGGACCAAGCGUUGUUCGGAUUUACUGGGCGUAAAGGGCGCGUAGGCGGCAAUUCAAGUCAUCUGUGAAAUCUCCGAGCUUAACUCGGAACGGUCAGAUGAUACUGCUUUGCUAGAGUGCAGAAGGGGCAACCGGAAUUCUUGGUGUAGCGGUGAAAUGCGUAGAUAUCGAGAGGAACACCUGCGGCGAAGGCGGGUAGCUGGGCCGACACUGACGCUGAGGCGCGAAAGCCAGGGGAGCGAACGGG
rnacentral:rRNA from 1 species